rnacentral:rRNA from 1 species
UACAGAGGGGGCAAGCGUUAUUCGGAAUUAUUGGGCGUAAAGGGCGCGUAGGCGGCUUUUCAAGUGACGGGUGAAAUCCCUAGGCUUAACCGAGGAACUGCCUGUCAGACUGGAAGGCUUGAGACCGGGAGAGGUGAGUGGAAUUCCCAGUGUAGCGGUGAAAUGCGUAGAUAUUGGGAGGAACACCAGUGGCGAAGGCGGCUCACUGGACCGGAACUGACGCUGAGGCGCGAAAGCGUGGGGAGCAAACAGG